GAUUGCAGGCUGCAACUCGCCUGUAUGAAGUCGGAAUUGCUAGUAAUCGCGGAUCAGCAUGCCGCGGUGAAUACGUUCCCGGGCCUUGUACACACCGCCCGUCACACCAUGAGAGCCGGGAACACCCGAAGUCCGUAGUCUAACCGCAAGGAGGACGCGGCCGAAGGUGGGUUUGGUAAUUGGGGUGAAGUCGUAACAAGGUACC
rnacentral:rRNA from 1 species